CAGCAGCCGCGGUAAUACGUAGGGUGCGAGCGUUACUCGGAUUUACUGGGCGUAAAGCGUGCGCAGGCGGCCCGUUAAGACAGGUGUGAAAUCCCUGGGCUCAACCUAGGAAUUGCGCUUGUGACUGGCGGGCUCGAGUACGGUAGAGGGGGGUGGAAUUCCUGGUGUAGCAGUGAAAUGCGUAGAGAUCAGGAGGAACACCGAUGGCGAAGGCAGCCCCCUGGGCCUGUACUGACGCUCAUGCACGAAAGCGUGGGGAGCAAACAGGAUUAGAUACCCGGGUAGUCCACGCCCUAAACGAUGGGUACUAGCCGUUUGGUGCGCGAUAGCGCUGAGUGGCGAAGCUAACGCGUGAAGUACCCCGCCUGGGGAGUACGGCCGCAAGGUUGAAACUUAAAGGAAUUGGCGGG
rnacentral:rRNA from 1 species